rnacentral:lncRNA from 1 species
UUGUUCCUUUUUAGCAAAACAUGAUCUGGUGUCUAAUGUGCAGUUCGAUCCAUUGCACAACAUCUGUUGUGUUUAUGAAGGAAAAAUUCCAAAGUUUGCUGAAUUCAAUAGUAUUCUGGAGUUCAUGAAGAGGUUGUCGAUACAGAAAGCUUUAACAAAUCAACAUCUUGUAUUUCGAUCAGCAUUUCUGGGAGAAGGCAACACAUAAUGAAGAAAAUAAAACAAUAAAUUCGAUUGUAAGCUUGAACGGCCAAGAUAAACCAAUCAUCAUCACAUAGCAGCUUGUACGUGAAGUGAUAGACUUUCCGGAUGAUGAAAAUUCUCCGACAAAGUUCCCAGAGAGGAUGGUCAAAGGUUGCAUGUUGCGGAUGGGUUACAAUGGUCCACUGAACAAGUUUCUUAUACACUCAGUGUUGCAUGCUCUAAGUCAUCGAAAGGGAGGUUAUGAUGUGAUGCGGGGUUAUCAAAUGUGCAUGGUGACGACAUUCGUGUUAAACAAGAAGUAUAACUUUUCAAAGAUUGUGUUCCAUUUUAUGGUAGAGAAUAUUACUUCGAAAAGCAAGACUUGGAUUUAUCCAUGAUUUGUUCAGAUGAUGUUGGAUCAUGCUUAUCCUGAUCUGGAGAAAGAUGAAAACAAUGAUUUGUUGAUGCUAUUCCACAUGGAUAAUGAGACUUUGAAGG